GACCUAUCAGCUUUCGACGGUAGUGUAUUGGACUACCGUGGCAGUGACGGGUAACGGGGAAUUAGGGUUCGAUUCCGGAGAGGGAGCCUGAGAAACGGCUACCACAUCUAAGGAAGGCAGCAGGCGCGCAAAUUACCCAAUCCUGACUCAGGGAGGUAGUGACAAGAAAUAACAACACUGGAAAUUUUAUUUCUAGUGAUUGGAAUGAUGGGAAUCUAACCCCCUUUCAGAGUAACAAUUGGAGGGCAAGUCUGGUGCCAGCAGCCGCGGUAAUUCCAGCUCCAAUAGCGUAUAUUAAAGUUGUUGCAGUUAAAAAGCUCGUAGUUGGAUAUCUGCUGGAAGCAAUCAGUCCGCCUUAUUUAGGGUGUGCACUUGAUGAAUUCUGGCAUCUAUUAUUCCCAAUAUGCUGGUGGCUUUCAGUAGUCAUCAUUAGUGUUGGGAAUAAUACAGUUACUUUGAGAAAAUUAGAGUGUUUGAAGCAGGCUUAUUGCCUUGAAUACUGCAGC
rnacentral:rRNA from 1 species